rnacentral:rRNA from 1 species
AGGAUGAACGCUAGCGAUAGGCCUAACACAUGCAAGUCGAGGGGCAUCACGGGAGUAGCAAUACAACUGGUGGCGACCGGCGCACGGGUGAGUAACGCGUAUGCAACCUACCUAUCAGAGGGGAAUAACCCGGCGAAAGUCGGACUAAUACCGCAUAAAACAGGGGCACCGCAUGGUGAUAUUUGUUAAAGAAAUUCGCUGAUAGAUGGGCAUGCGUUCCAUUAGGUAGUUGGUGAGGUAGCGGCUCACCAAGCCGACGAUGGAUAGGGGAACUGAGAGGUUGGUCCCCCACACUGGUACUGAGACACGGACCAGACUCCUACGGGAGGCAGCAGUGAGGAAUAUUGGUCAAUGGGCGGGAGCCUGAACCAGCCAAGUCGCGUGAAGGAAGAAGGAUCUAUGGUUCGUAAACUUCUUUUGCAGGGGAAUAAAGUGCAGGACGUGUCCUGUUUUGUAUGUACCCUGAGAAUAAGGAUCGGCUAACUCCGUGCCAGCCGCCGC